CGCCUCUUGACCCCAUAAGAGGUCCAGCCUGCCCAGUGACAAAGUUCAACGGCCGCGGUAUCCUAACCGUGCAAAGGUAGCAUAAUCACUUGUUCUUUAAAUAAGGACCUGUAUCAACGGCACCACGAAGGUUGCACUGUCUCCCCCCUCUAAUCAGUGAAACUGAUCUCCCCGUGAAGAAGCGGGGAUACACCUAUAAGACGAGAAGACCCCAUGGAGCUUAAGACCCACAGCAACUCGAUUACAUUUUUCCUCUUAACCUACAGAGCCAUGCAUUUCGGUCUUAGGUUGGGGCGACCGCGGAGUAAAAACUAACCUCCACGAUGAAAAGAACUAAUUCUUUAUCCUAGAGCCACCCCUCCAAGAACUAGCACACUAACGUAAGUGACCCAACUAUUGAUCAACGAACCAAGUUACCCUGGGGAUAACAGCGCAAUCUACUUCAAGAGCCCCUAUCGACAAGUAGGCUUACGACCUCGAUGUUGGAUCAGGGUAUCCCAGUGGUGCAGCCGCUCCUAACGGUUCGU
rnacentral:rRNA from 1 species